rnacentral:rRNA from 1 species
CCUACGGGUCGCAGCAGUGGGGAAUAUUGGACAAUGGGCGAAAGCCUGAUCCAGCCAUGCCGCGUGUGUGAAGAAGGCCUUCGGGUUGUAAAGCACUUUCAGUGGGGAAGAAAGCCUUGGGGCUAAUACCCUCGAGGAAGGACAUCACCCACAGAAGAAGCACCGGCUAACUCCGUGCCAGCAGCCGCGGUAAUACGGAGGGUGCGAGCGUUAAUCGGAAUUACUGGGCGUAAAGCGCGCGUAGGCGGUCUGAUAAGCCGGUUGUGAAAGCCCCGGGCUCAACCUGGGAACGGCAUCCGGAACUGUCAGGCUAGAGUGCAGGAGAGGAAGGUAGAAUUCCCGGUGUAGCGGUGAAAUGCGUAGAGAUCGGGAGGAAUACCAGUGGCGAAGGCGGCCUUCUGGACUGACACUGACGCUGAGGUGCGAAAGCGUGGGUAGCAAACAGGAUUAGAUACCCCGGUAGUC